UGUUAUUUGGGUCGAUCCGACUGUCGUCGAGAAGGGCGCCAACGGUCGCCACAGCGAACAAGUCGCCCAUUUGCUUUGCCCUUAACAAACUACCUUUACGCAGAACCACAAGAAAAUGGACCGUCUCCCCGAGGGGUGUGGUCUGGUGCGUGACACCAGGAGCUGGAUUGGUGUGUGGCGUCUGGACGUCAGUUGUGGCCUACAGCAGCUUUUUAAAGCGAACGCUACCUGGCUCUCCGUUUGAGAAGCAUCGCUGUGUUCCCGGACCGGUAUCGGCUGCGCUGUUCGUGUGCAGCCGCCGGGAGCUCGGAACAUCUCGCCGCGGGGAUGAGGAUCAGUCAAACAAGAUUACUCCCAACUGUUGUGCCAAAUGCUUACACCAUAAGCUGAUAAGUGGGGAAUGAGAACUGGCCUUAAAGCAAGACGCAAGCAACCACAAGAAGCUACGACACCAGAAUUUCCUUCACAGAGCUCCAGCUUUUACCCACAUUUCAACAUGUCUGUACUUGGCCCCAAAACGUUCGGAACAAAAAGAAUGUGAAAGUUGAAGCACACUGAAAAUCAAAGCUUGGAAUGUCUUGCGUGAUUCCACAUUAAUUUUUCACUGAUGGGAGCUAUGUUAAUUAAUGCCAGAUUUACAAUGAUACCAUCUGCAAUCGAGAAUUGAUUUUUCCUCAUCCCCAUAAACUAACUGGAUUGGAAUUUCUGACACAAUUCAUGCAGAAAGACAGCAUUGAGUUUCACUGGACCACAAGUGCCGCUCUUACUCGACAGCUACAAUGGGCCAAAACCCUCCCCCACCAAGUCUGACUUGAAAUUUCACACACAAAUGUGCCCCGGUUACUCACCUGGUCUUGGAAUUUUUUUGCUGAUGUAGCCUGCAGUCAAGUCCUCAUCUGCAUAUGGCAGCCAGUUAAAGUUCAUCUCCAGAACGCACAAAGAAAUAUUUGGCUGUGCAGUAUCCCGUUAGCGGCUAAACAUACGUUUAUUCCCCAUGGAGUCUCCAUGCCAGACUUGAAACCUGACCACUUGCUUCCACAACCCCCCACUCCAACAACAUGUCCCCUCUGUCCUCUUAAUCCAGCCUGUCAGACUAAAUAAAGGCUCAGAGGAAGUGUUAGGAAAAACGGAGGAUUGCAGAUACUCAUAACAAAGUUUCUAUUUUGUCCUGUCAAACACGAAGCCGUUGUUUUCAUUGGGAGAUUUAUUACAAAAUAUCUUCAAACACAGACGGAAAUGUAGCAUAGCGAUUGAGAAAGCAGAGAAUGGAAUCACAUAAUCGACCAAUAUGGAGAGCCAAGACGAGGUAGCAAUGAUUUCCCAAAGUGUCCAUUUUCAAUUGUGAAACGGAGCUCAAGUCGAUAACGCUCGAUGGCGUCGAUGCAGGUCGUCUCGUCUUUCGGGGUUUAUCCGGCUGGCUUACUGUUGAAAGACACAUGUAAUCAUCUUGGUUAUCAUCACAUCGCAGUCGGCAAUAUUGUUAUUGACAUUGACAAAAGAUGUCAUGACUGAUUGAUCAUUUUUCUUCUAGAUCAACUGUCACAUAAACACCACUUUUUUCGGUAUGGCGCCGUAAGUGGCUGCCUCCCAGCAGUGUUCUCUCCUUUCCUCUUUAUUUCUUUCUUUUCUCCUUUUUCUUUCUGUCUUUUUGUCCAUUCGGCGAUGCUGGUGCCUUCUACCGCACCUCAGUAUCUCUUCGGAUCGGAUAUUUUGUAUUAUUAUUUUUUCUUCCUGGGACCGGGAUCAUCGGUCGAGACCGGCGUAACUCUACGGCGGCUUCCUGCUUAUCCGGCCAGUGAUGACCGGGUCCCUCGCCUUGGCCUUGCAACCGCAACCCCUGUAGGGACUCCGCUUCCUCGUGCUCGUCGGAACCAACGACUUUCGCCAUGCUAGCCCCGUGGUGACCAUCUGCACGUGCAUCCGACUGGGUGCCCAGGACGCUGCUCACACGUUUGCCUGCUUUGUGAUGUUUUUCACCGAUUCACGACCACGGUCCAUUGGGCGCCGUUGAACUGGACUGCCGUUAUACCUGUCUAUGGACCCCGUGGAGGCUAUUUUGUGUGUUCUCUUGUAUUGAGGGGUGCUGGUUGGCCACAGUUUUUUUUUUUCCUUUGUCUUUUAGCUUUGUUUUGCUUUGAUGGCUUUUAUCUUGAGCACUUUCUGGCUUUCUUUGUGGCGCCGUUGUGUGGCAGCCUGUGUCUUUUGUAUACCCACUCUGUGGUGUGAAUACUGCUGGGGCCUGAAUUUCCCCACCCCUGGGGAUCAAUAAAUAUUCAAUCAAUCAAUCAUAUUGUGAUAUGGCAAAAUGUUGCGAUAUUGCUAAGCGAUACAAGUUCCACCUCUCACACCAUUGACAUCAUUUUUGUGUCAGAUAAAAUAUUCCAAUAUCACUUGACCUAGUUACUCUAGCAUGAUAUCACCAUUGACAACAUGUCAUGAUAUCACAAAGUCAUUUAGUAAUUGCCUACCUCAAAUUGACGUGGUUUUUUUUUUGCAAUACACGUAAGCACCGUAUAACGACAUCGUCGGUAAAAUAAUAUUGGUUUUGUCCAUGAAUCAACACAAUGCAGUGCGUCUUAUCCCCACCGUUUAAUAUAAUCCGCUAAUGAACAAGUAUGAAAAGCGGGUCUCCGGGCCCCUACCUCUUUUCCGGUACAAGUGCCACAGAUGCAUCCGAAAAGCCCGUUGAUCAUUUGAAUGAGACAGAGGAUCAAUUCAAGGGAGGCCGCCGCCAAAAGGGUGGAGAACAGCCCCACGUUGAAUUCAACGACAUUCUCGGGGAGUUUGCACCAUUUCCACAUAUCCUUAUCUGUCAGGUAGCUCCCAGUGCUGCAAGGAUAGAUAGCAUAAUGAUAUGUUUCUUUCUUUAUUUCUUUACAUCCCAUUUCAUUUUGUUACUCUAGCGUCAGCAAGUAUAGAAUUAUGAAUAUUAUAGAGUCAUGCCAUGCAAAAUUGGCGGAUACCUGUUUGCAAAGGGAACCCCCCAUUUUGGAAUGGGAUUUUGCAGAUUGCUCCACUUACACAGCGGACCGUUGGAAAGUCCGAGGGCAGCCGCGCUCAAGCUGUAUAUGGCCCCGACCACGCCCGCAGCCGCGAAGCCGAUGGACAGGAACAUCUGCGUCGAGUGACAUUGUGUCAAAUGUGACAAGCUUUUUUUAUAUAUAUAUAUUUUUUGCUUUAGCUUUGCGUGUGCUCACCCCACAGCGGUUGGCACAGCAUUUGCCAGAGCUGGUCAGGUGAAUAUGGAUGGCAGGAAUGAGGACCUUUCACAUAGAAGCAGAAAGAA